AGAGGAGCGCGAGCAGCAGCAUGGCGGGGCUCCGACGCCCGCAGCCCGGCUGCUACUGCCGCACCGCCGCGGCCGUGAAUCUCCUGCUGGGCGUCUUCCAGGUCCUCCUGCCCUGCUGUCGCCCGGGAGGGGCUCAGGGACAAGCGAUCGAGCCCUUGCCGAACGUGGUGGAGCUGUGGCAGGCAGAGGAAGGGGAACUCCUGCUGCCCACUCAGGGUGAUUCUGAAGAGGACAUGGAGGAGCAUUCUCAAGAACAGAGGUAAGGAAAAAAAAAAUGGGCGUGCUGAGUUUUUCUGCCCCCUUUGAAUGCCCUCUGCAGUCUGGGGAUUUGUCUGCUUUUAUGUAUUUAAUAUUAUCUGUGAUGUACCUUUCUCUUGGGCAUUUGGGGGUAUCUAUUUAAUGACUUUGUUUUAAAGUAAGGUUGCCCAGAAAGUUGUUAAAACAACCCCCCUCCCAUCUGGCUACUUACAUCCUCCUGGUUUAAAAGCGUGUGUUGAGUAUCAGGCACUGUCCUGGGUGCUGGACAUAAAACAUUGAACAAGACCUGUGUGCGUGUAGUAGGGACGUCAGCCAUCGCUGCAAACAAAACAGUUAUGCUGGUAAGAACUGUCAAGAAUUAGACUACUGGAGUACCUGUUGCGGCUCAGUGGUAACGAAGCUGAGUAGUAUCCACGAGAAUGCGGGUUCGAUCCCUGGCCCAGCUCAGUGGGUUAAGGAUCCAGCCUGGCUGUGGCUGUAGCAUAGGCCGGCAGCUGCAGCUCCCACUCAGCCUCUGGCUUGGAAACUUCCAUAUACUGCAGGUGCGGCCCCCCAAAAAAAGCAAAAAAAAAAAUUUUUUUUUUUUGAGGAGAAUUAGAUUGCUGUGGUAGAGAACAGUGAGGUAGACGGCUUGGUUGGGUGGUCUGAGGUGACAUUGGAGCUGAGGUCUGGAGGAUGUGUGUGGGAGCAGCUGGGUGGUGAACAGAGGGAAUAGCAGGUGCAGAGGCCCUCAGGUGGGAAGCUCUGGCUGCGUUCCAGGAACGCGGAGAAGGCCGGAGGGGUUUUGUAGGAGAGUGAGAUGAGGUAGGACCUUAGAAGCCAGAGUGAGGAGGUUGGAUUUAAUUUUAUUCUUUUAAAAUGUGGCAUGGAGUUCCCUGGUGGCUCAGUGGGUUAAGGAUGCAGUGUUGUCACUGCAACAGCUUAGGUUGGGUUUGAUCCCUGGCCCUGGGGAACUUCUGCCUACCUUGAGCGAGGCCAAAAAAAGGGCUAGCAAAUCCAAAGACAUAAAUUACAUUUUUAAGAGAAUACUUUGGUCUCUGGGUGGUCUUGGUUCGUUGCUGGGAAAUCUGGUCCCUUGGAGAUACUUGAAGGUACCUGGGUAUGAAGGUAACCUUCAGAGGAUCAGCUUCUAGAUCCCCAGCCUUCAUAUCUUCUCCUAAAACUGAUCUCUCUGAGGUUAUGAUAGAUCCUUUUCCAUCUCUUUUUUGACUCUGAGAGAGGCAUACCUCUUACCAGGCGCCCAACCUGCUGUGUGCUUCAUCUUGGGCACGGGGCCAGUUUGAGAAAGUGUCUUAACUCUGACUGGAUGACAAGUGCUUUUUUAAUUCUGGGAGUUUUCAAAUCUUGACUUUCUGUAAGAUUGAAGGAGGACCCAAUCAAGUUGGCAGUUGUUAGACCAUCAAAAGCUUUUGAAUAAUAGAGUGAUUUUUGGCCAAAUGCUGAGGGAGUUUAGAGCAUAUAGGGACAGUGCUAUCACAAAGCUCCUUCCUUUCACCUCUAUUUAUGUGAACAAGCUUUUUUUUUUAGAUUUUUGUCUUUUUAGGGCCACACCUUUGGCAUAUGAAGUUCCCAGGCUAGAGGUCGAAUUAGAGCUACAGCCACCUGCCUACACCACAGCCACAGCAACACCAGAUCGGAGCUGCGUCUGCGACCUAUACCACAGCUUACGGCAACACUGGAUCCUUAACCCACUGAGUGAGGCCAGGAUUGGACCCAUAUCCUCAUGGAUGGAUAGUGGUCAGGUUCAGAGGAUCAGUUACUGCCGAGCCACAAUGGGAACUCCUGAACAAGCUUUUUCAAUGCUUAUAUUAAAAAAAAAAAAAGGACAAGAAAAAUAAGGUUAAAUUGAUGCUGAUCAGGCCCAUCUUACUCUAGCAGUAAUAUUCAUAUUGACCCAGUUAGGGGGAAAGAGACAGUUGUAUCCAUCUCAUUAAAGGAUGCAGUUUUCUUACUUUUUUCUUUUUCUUUGGCUGCACCUGAGGCAUGUGGAAAUUCCUGAGCCAGGGAUCAAAGCUGUGCUGCAGUUGUAGCUUGCACCACAGCUGCGGCAGCGCCAGUAAGGGAUGCAUUUUUCUUUUUUCUUUUAACCUUUUUUCUUUUUAUCUUAUUGGAGUAUAGUUGCUUUACAAUGUUAUGUUAGGAUGCACUUUGCAAUACAAUUUGAACUCUUACGAUUAGUUACCUAUCAGAGUUUGUAAAAUUUGUUCGAUUUGAUCACUUGUGUGCUAAUAAUAAUUAUAAUGAUAAUUUCAAUGAAAAAAUUAUUACUUAGCCCCUAUGGUCACAGGAAAUUAAGAAAAAAAACCCUGAAAUCUCAAUUUAUACCUGUAGUUUUCUUGAAAAAGCUUUGUACAUAAAGCUGUAUUAAGUUAAAAUUUUUUGAGAGAAUAUCCAGCAAUUCAAGAAAGCCUGCAUGUACAUGUUUGUGUGUGUGUGUAUGUAUAUAUCCAUAUUUUUUUGGCCACCUGGCAGCAUAUCGAGUUCCUGGGCCAGGCUCCAGUUGCGACCUACACCACAGCUAUGACAAAGCAGAUUCUUUAAUCCACUGUGCUGGACCGGGGAUUGAACCUCUGUCCUGGCGCUGCAGAGAUGCUGCAGAUCGCGUUUGCACCACAGCAGGAACUCCUACCUGUGUAUUUUUUUUUUUUUUUUUUUUGGUCUUUUUGCUAUUUCUUGGGCCGCUCCCGCGGCAUUUGGAGGUUCCCAGGCUAGGGGUCUAAUCGGAGCUGUAGCUGCCAGCCUACGCCAGAGCCACAGCAAUGCGGGAUCCCAGCCUCGUCUGCAACCUACAGCACAGCGCACGGCAAUGCCGGAUCGUUAACCCACUGAGCAAGGGCAGGGACCAAACCCGCAGCCUCAUGGUUCCUAGUCAGAUUCGUUAACCACUGCGUCACGACGGGAACUCCCUACCUGUGUAUUUUUAAAAAUAUGGUUGAUGAUGCAGUAGUAUUUAGAUUCCUUUGAAUAUAUUUUAAAGAGUGUUUUAUAAAAAAUGCCAACAUUUAUAAUAUGCCAGAAGUGGCCCGCUUCUGCAAACAUUUAAAUUCAUAGUAUAACAUUUGAAAUGUUAGGAUUACUUGCAUAUCCAGGGCAGAGGAGUUUGAAGUUUGCUCCAGCCCUGUCUGAGGGUCUGGGAGCAAGGGAAGCUGCCGGCGGUUCUGGCUGGGCUGGCGGUCAUAGGGACAGAGGGACGUGGAAAAUAGGUGAGAUGAAUUUUUGUUGGGUCAGGUGUGGAGGGUGAGAGAAGACGAAACCGUGGAGGGCUUCUUGGAUUUGGCUUGAGCAUCUGGGGAGAUGACGACCGUGAUGGGAAGGCUCCAAGGGGAGGGUAGCCAGGAUCUCUGCUUGGUGUCUUAUAGGACCUUCAGACAUGAUGGGACAGGCCCGGGGAGGUGGCAGCUGGGCACCCAGGGGAGUGUCCAGGAGGCAGGCCUGGCUGCAUCUCCAAGGGUCUUGUUGCCGGGCCUUUGCAUUGGCUUUCCCCUUUCAGAGCCCCAGUUCUUGUCUUUCUCAUCAAGGAGAACUAGUUUCUUUUCACCUAUUUGCUGUCACGUUUCAAGUUAUGAAGUGGAUUUUAUCCUUGGUGCUCUUUUGACACAGAUCAAGUCAGGGGCCUAAAAAUGUUUUGCCAGUGUCUCACAGUAAAAGACAUGUUUUGGGGAGUUCCUAUUGUGGUUCAGUGUGUUAUGCACCCGACUAGGAUCCAUGGGGAUGCAGGUUUGAUCCCUGACCCUGCUUAGUGGGUUAAGGAUCCGCCAUUGCCGUCCGCUGGGGUCUAGGUUGCAGGUGUGGCUCGGAUCCUGUGUUGCUUUUGGCUGUGAUAGAGGCUGGCAGCUGUAGCUCAGAUUCGACCCCUAGUCUGGAAACUUCCAUAUGCUUCGGGUGCAGCC
rnacentral:lncRNA from 1 species